rnacentral:rRNA from 1 species
UACGUAGGGGGCUAGCGUUAUCCGGAAUUACUGGGCGUAAAGGGUGCGUAGGUGGUUUCUUAAGUCAGAGGUGAAAGGCUACGGCUCAACCGUAGUAAGCCUUUGAAACUGGGAAACUUGAGUGCAGGAGAGGAGAGUGGAAUUCCUAGUGUAGCGGUGAAAUGCGUAGAUAUUAGGAGGAACACCAGUGGCGAAGGCGACUUGCUGGACAUUAACUGACGCUGAAGCGCGAAAGCGUGGGGAGCAAACAGGAUUAGAUACCCCUGUAGUCCCUGAG